CCGCGGGAGCGCCGCUGCGGGGAUGGGGCGGGCUCGGAGCUGUGCCUUUGUAGCCGCUGCUCUCACGGCACCGUCGAAGCUCUGCUACACGCGGAGCGCGGUGAGGGCCUCGGGCACCUCAGCGCUACAAAACCUUGAUUGCCUGGAGUUCUAGGUAAAAGGAUAAGGAAAUGCGGGAGGAUGUCUUGUCGUAACAAACCUGUCAGAUUUCAGAGAAAUCUGAAGGUGAUAGGAAUAGAACACAUGGCUAAUUUGAAGGAAAAAUAAACAAAAAAAAUGAGUUUGGUGACUGAAUUUUGUCUUCACCUUCUUUUGCCCCCCUUCAUUGGUAGCCAGGUUUGUGCCCCUUGCAGGAAUUGCUCAGAAGCAACAAUUUGCAUCGAGUGUAUCAGUGACUGUAUCAAUUUCUGCAACCCUUUAAAGCCUCUUGCUCGUGUUCUCACAAUCUGUGAAGAGCUGCAAACUCCAGAACUGAGGUUUCUCAAGUGCUCUUUCCUGCCCUGUGAAGUUCUGACUCAAAGCGCUUGGAAAUUGUGCCCUUGUACUUACUGGGCAAAAUACAAAGGAAAUUAAUUGAAUAAAUAAAUAGAAGCUGUGCCUCUGAA